GAACAACACCACACCCUCCCAAGAGGAACUAGAAAAGAAACAUGAAACUAAUUUCAAAAGGCAGUCCAUGGUUAUUGGCUUGGGACUGGUUCUGGGUAUGCUUAUUUUGACUUUUAUUCUGACUGCAACACCUUGGAGUAAAAUCUGUUCUGAUAUCUGCAGAAAAUGUACAACGAAUGAGAACAUUAACGAUUGUGUGGUGGACAGUACAAUCAAAGCUUAUCACAUGGCUCUUUAUGAGGAGAAUAUUAAGGAAGAGAUAGACAUUCUUAUUGAAAAAGACUUAAAGAGAACAGCUAAGGAGAGUGUAGUUCUGAAAAUCAGAGAACUACUACAGCCCUCUUCGACUGCAGCCCCUUCAACCCCCACCACACAGGGAGGAGGCGGGGCAACCUCUACAACCUCCACCACACAGGGAGGAGGCGGGGCAACCUCUACAACCCCCACCACACAGGGAGGAGACAGGCCAACAUCUACAACCCCCACCACACAGGGAGAAGACAGGGCAACAUCUACAACCCCCACCACACAGGGAGGAGACAGGGCAACAUCUACAACCCCCACCACACAGGGAGGAGACAGGCCAACAUCUACAACCCCCACCACACAGGGAGAAGACAGGGCAACAUCUACAACCCCCACCACACAGGGAGGAGACAGACCAACAUCUACAACCUCCACCACACAGGGAGAAGACAGAUCAACAUCUACAAGCCCCACCACACAGGGAGGAGACAGACCAACAUCUACAACCCCCACCACACAGGGAGGAGACAGGCCAACAUCUACAACCCCCACCACACAGGGAGGAGACAGGCCAACAUCUACAACCCCCACCACACAGGGAGGAGACAGGCCAACAUCUACAACCCCCACCACACAGGGAGGAGGCGGGGCAACAUCUACAACCCCCACCACACAGGGAGGAGGCGGGGCAACAUCUACAACCCCCACCACACAGGGAGGAGACAGGCCAACAUCUACAACCCCCACCACACAGGGAGAAGACAGGCCAACAUCUACAACCCCCACCACACAGGGAGGAGGCGGGGCAACAUCUACAACCUCCACCACACAGGGAGGAGGCGGGGCAACCUCUACAACCCCCACCACACAGGGAGGAGGCGGGGCAACAUCUACAACCCCCACCACACAGGGAGGAGACAGGGCAACCUCUACAACCCCCACCACACAGGGAGGAGACAGGCCAACAUCUACAACCCCCACCACACAGGAAGGAGACAGGCCAACAUCUACAACCUCCACCACACAGGAAGGAGACAGGCCAACAUCUACAACCUCCACCACACAGGGAGGAGACAGGCCAACAUCUACAACCCCCACCACACAGGAAGGAGACAGGACAACAUCUACAACCUCCACCACACAGGGAGGAGACAGGCCAACAUCUAUAACCCCCACCACACAGGGAGGAGACAGGCCAACAUCUACAAACCNNNNNNNNNNNNNNNNNNNNACCGCCCUUGCUGUCUCUGCCUGGCCGGUUCCCCUCUCUCCACUGGGAUUCUCUGCCUCUAACCCUAUUACUUUUUUCAUUUUUUUAUUUUACCAGGUAAGUUGACUGAGAGCACGUUCUCAUUUACAGCAACAACCUGGGGAAUAGUUACAGGGGAGAGGAGGGGGAUGAAUGAGCCAAUUGUAAGCUGGGGAUGAUUAGGUGACCAUGAUGGUACGAGGGACAGCUUGGGAAUUUAGCCAGGACACCGGGGUUAACACCCCUACUCUUAUGAUAAGUGCCAUUGGAUCUUUAAUGACCUCAGAGACUCAGGACACCCGUUUAAUGUCCCAUCCAAAAGACGGCACCCUACACAAGGCAGUGUCCCCAAUCACUCCCCUGGGGCAUUGGGAUAUUUUUUAGACCAGAGGAAAGAGUGCCUCCUACUGGCCCUCCAACACCACUUCAAGUAGCAUUUGGUCUCCCAUCCAGGACCAGAACCAACCCUGCUUAGUUUCAUAAGCAAGCCAGCAGUGGGAUGCAGGGUGGUAUGCUGCUGGCUGAGUUGCUGGAUUACUGGUGCUCUUCCAUGCCGUCCCUAGGAGGAGUGCGUCACUUGGGUGGGUUGAGUCACUGACGUGAUUUUCCUGUCCGGGUUGGCGCCCCCCCCCCCCUUGGGUUGUGCCGUGGCGUAGAUCUUUGUUGGUUAUCCUCGGCCUUGUCUCAGGAUGGUAAGUUGGUGGUUGAAGAUAUCCCUCUAGUGGUGUUGGGGCUGUUCUUUGGCAAAGUGGGUGGGGUUAUAUCCUGCCUGCUUGGCCCUGUUCGGGGGUAUCGUCGGACGGGGCCACAGUGUCUCCCGACCCCUCCUGUCUCAGCCUCCAGUAUUUAUGCUGCAGUAGUUUAUGUGUCGGGGGGCUAGGGUCAUUCUGUUACAUCUGGAGUAUUUCUCCUGUCUUAUCCGGUGUCCUGUGAGGAUUUAAGUAUGCUCUCUCUAAUUCUCUUUCUUUCUUUCUUUCUUUCUUUCUUUCUUUCUUUCUUUCUUUCUUUCUUUCUUUCUUUCUUUCUCUCGGAGGAUCUGAGCCCUAGGACCAUGCCUCAGGACUACCUGACCUGAUGACUGCUUGCUGUCCCCUGUCCACCUGGCCUUGCUGCUGCUCCAGUUUCAGCUGUUCUGCCUGCGGCUAUGGAACCCUGACUUGUUCACCGGACGUGCUACCUGUCCCAGACCUGCUGUUUUCAACUCUCUAGAGACAGCAGGAGCGGUAGAGAUACUCUGAAUGAUCGGCUAUGAAAAGCCAACUGACAUUUACUCCUGAGGUGCUGACCUGUUGCACCCUCGACAUCCACUGUGAUUAUUAUUAUUUGACCCUGCUGGUCAUCUAUGAACAUUUGAAAAUCUUGGCCAUGUUCUGUUAUAAUAUCCACCCGGCACAGCCAGAAGAGAACUGGCCACGCCUCAUAGACUGGUUCCUCUCUAGGUUUCUUCCUAGGUUCUGGCCUUUCUAGGGAGUUUUUCCUAGCCACCGUGCUUCUACACCUGCCUUGCUUGCUGUUUGGGGUUUUAGGCUGGGUUUCUGUACAGCACUUUGUGACAUAAGCUGAUGUAAGAAGGGCUUUAUAAAUGAAUUUGAUUUGAUUUGAUCAGAAACAAAUAAUCAUCACGAUUCCACUUCAAGUCACUUUCACCGAUCCAACAGUCCCCAACCUCUUCUCUAACCUGACACCCCAUAUGGAUCAGGCAAAAAGCAAUGACCAUUCUCUCCAAAAAUCUCACUCCCACCGGGCCAGAAACAUCUUUAUCACUAUCAGGACUAGACUCAAACUCGCACCUGCCAGAGCAGUUAAUUCAUCCUCACUCUCGUCAUGUUACAUUUCCUCCUGUAGCUCUUCCAGAAGUUCUUCCAUAUUUACUCAUAAGAUGUUCCACUUUCCUCUUUUUUUUUCCUGUCCGCCAUCUUACCAACCUCUACGGGUUCCUCUGACGUCAUCUCCUCGUCCAACAUUACGAGAAACAAUCCAGAGCUCACUGUCCGGUGAGCUAGCAGUUGCUAAGCUGUAGAUGAUCUCUCGUUUCUCGGGUCUUCUUCUAGGUUCAAAACUGUAUGGUUGUAGUCCGGUGCCUUAUUGUCAAAACCAACCCAAUCGUAACACAGCCACCUGGUGCAGGCAGGCAGUCACUUGCCCAGUGUUCCAAAACUGUUCACCUGUUUCUACUUCAAGCAAGGACAAUAUUCCAUCUGUACUUUUUGGGUGUUUUUAUGGUAGUGUUUGGCACAGCAGCAUAUCAUUGAUUUUUAUCUCCAAUUUCCAAUGUCACGUUUUUGGGACAUAAUUUUGACACACAGAAGAUGCACUACACAGUCCACAAUUCUAAAUUCCACUUCCUGUUUCAAUCGGUCUCGGGGUUUUGACUGCCAUAGGAGUUCUGUUAUACUCACAGACACCAUUCAAACAGUUUUAGAAACUUUAGGGUGUUUUCUAUCCAUAUAUAAUAAGUAUAUGCAUGUCCUAGCUUCUGAGUUUGAUUAGUAGGCCGUUGAAAAUGGGAACGAAUUUUUUUCAAAAUGCGCUGUGGCGCCCCCUAUCCUAGGGUAUCCUCAAGAGGUUAUGUUUGCUCCUGUUUGGUGGGUGUGGUGAGGUGUGGCUUGAAGCAAUGGGUGACAUAUUUAAAGCGCAGUAACCAUGCUGGCAGUGUUCCCCAAGACAAAAUCCAACCCCUCCCCAUUUUUCAACUGGUCGUUCAGUACAGUACCGUUUCCCUUCAUUUUAACGUUUCAGAACAUAAAAGCAUAUUGAACGCAGCCCAAAGUACUGAGGGGGGGGGUGGAGACCAGAGUGUUGAGGGGGGUGGAGACCAGAGCAUUGAGGAGGGUGGAGACCAGAGUAUAGAGGAGGGGUGGAGACCAGAGUUUAAGAAGGGGUGUGGAGACCAGAUUAUUGAGAGGGUGUGGAAACCAGUUUAGAGGGGACGUGGAGACGAGAGUGUUGAGUGGAGGUGGAGACCAGAGGUGUGUUCAGUUUGUUUGAACGUUUGCUACAUUGCAGAAUGGCUUGUACUGAACAUCUUUACCCAAAACGUUCUUGUACAUUCUUGAACAGAUCAGUCUAGACUUUAAAGGUAUGUUUGCUCCUGUUUGGUGGGUGUGGUGAGGUGUGGCUUGAAGCAAUGGGUGACAUAUUUAAAGCGCAGUGACCAUGCUGACAGCAUUCCCCAAGACAAAAUCCAACCCCUCCCCAUUUUUCAACUGGUCGUUCAGUACAGUACCGUUCCCUUCAUUUUAACGUUUCAGAACAUAAAAGCAUAUUGAACGCACCCCAAAGUACUGAGGGGGGGUGGAGACCAGAGUGUUGAGGGGAGGUGGAGACCAGAGUGUUGAGGGGGGGUGGAGACCAGAGUGUUGAGGGGGCGUGGAGACCAGAUUGUUGAGGCGGUGUGGAGACCAGAGUGUUGAGGUGGGGUGGAGACCAGAGUGUUGAGGGGGCGUGGAGACCAGAGUGUUGAGGGGAGGGGGGGGGACCAGAGUGUUGAGGGGGCGUGGAGACCAGAGUGUUGAGGGGGCGUGGAGACCACAGUGUUGAGGGGAGGUGGAGACCAGAGUGUUGAGGGGCGGUGGAGACCAGAGUGUUGAGGGGAGGUGGAGACCAGAGUGUUGAGGGGGCGUGGAGACCACAGUGUUGAGGGGAGGUGGAGACCAGAGUGUUGAGGGUUGGUUGGGGGGGAGAGACCAGAGUAUAGUUUGGUCUAAAUAUAUUAGAUUACCUUUAACAUGAAAACUCAUUUUGUUUCAGGUUAUUGGCUUGGGAC
rnacentral:lncRNA from 8 species